CCGUGUUGUGAUGCGCCUGGUCAAGCCACUAAUGUCGCAGGGCCUUGGUGUACGGGAAACCGGUGCAGUACCGGUGCGGCCCUCGCCACUGUGAUCGGGAGGUCCGGCUCCACCCCCGCGGGGAACACCCUCGGGGAAGCCACUGGACCACGUCGGGAGACCGCCGUGGUGUGGGAAGGCGGAGUCGGACGGAAUGACCGUCAGCCAGGAGACCGGCCAGGGUGCGUUGUCCAUC
rnacentral:ncRNA from 2 species